UACGUAGGGGCCUAGCGUUGUCCGGAUUUAUUGGGCGUAAAGAGCUCGUAGGCGGUUCGGCAAGUCGGAUGUGAAAUCUCCACGCUCAACGUGGAGGCGCCAUUCGAAACUGCCGUGACUCGAGUCCGGUAGGGGAGUGUGGAAUUCCCGGUGUAGCGGUGAAAUGCGCAGAUAUCGGGAGGAACACCAGUAGCGAAGGCGGGUCACUGGGCUGAUACUGACGCUGAAGUGCGAAAGCCAGGGGAGCGAACGGG
rnacentral:rRNA from 1 species